rnacentral:lncRNA from 1 species
AAAAAAUUCAAUGUUUGUAUAAGAGAGUUUUUGAGAAAGAAUUGCUCUAUUGUAUGAGUUAUAUAUUGUGAGAUUAAAGAAAGUUUGUUUAUUUUGAGUGAAAAAGUGAUAUUUUAUCACAUCUUCCACCCAACACAAACUUGAACUGUGAAUAAGAAAGAGGGAAAAACGAAAAGAAGAACCACCUUCUGAGAGAGAGUUUGGGGCUUCUUACUCUACUUGUCUACAAUCUUGGAAGAAUAAUAGCAUUGGCAAUGGCCAUAAGGCUGUAUUCCAACGUAAAAACAAAUAAUGACAAUGAUGAUAUUUUUGAAAUUACCUCCCCCACAUAACAACAUAUUCUUGAAUUCCAUGUGCUCAUUUCUUUUCUGCAAGAUUCUUGAUGGGUAAUAAAUGAAUAAAGAAAAUACAAUCCAGUGGUGCCUGGGGAUUUUUAGCAAUCGAUUCGUGGUCGAUAGACCACCCGUUAGAACGGAAGGAUGACCGUGGUCACUAUCACGUAGCGCAUGUGGGGUGUCAAAAGGCCUAUCUGGGUUGGGCCGGUUCAACCCAUAUUUCUCAAGUUAUGUAAGUGGAACGAGUUGCUUAUUGAUUUGUCUCAUUAUUGAAUUGAGCAACGAAUUUCUAAUGUGAGUCGAUUGUUGGUUCAUUUAUUAGCCGAUUUGUCAUACAGUCAUAGUAAGUGAAAUAAGCAAUUUCACUAAAAAUAAUUUGGGGAGUCAAUGGCUUGUGCCACACUUCGAUUGAGCGAAUUGAGCUGAGCCGAGCCGAGCUAAGCCAAGUGGCUAGGCUCGUCCCACUUACCCCCUAGAUGGGUGAUGCUAAGGAAUUAGUGGGUAUAUUUCUGAAUUUAUUUAAUUUUUUAAUUUAAAAUAAAGGUAUACCAUUUUUUAUUUUUUUUUGUUGUUGUUAUUAAACCUUGACUUCUAGAUUUUUUAACUUAGAUGGAUCUAUCAACUAGGUACCAAGAUGUUACAAAAUUAAAAGCAAAAAUACAUCUGCCAGAAAAAAAGUUAGAAAUCCAUUUUGUUACAAAUUUCAUAGUUGAGGACCUCCAUUUAAAUUUUCCCUAAAUUAUUGCUAGCCAUUAAUAAUUGACAGCCGAUUCUUUAUUAUGUUCUCAAUUAUAUGUUGCUAAGAAAUAGGCACAAAGUUUGGUGAAUAUUCUUGGCGAGGAUUACACUUCUCGUGGCUGUUUUCAUUUAAU